rnacentral:rRNA from 1 species
GGAGUUAUCCGGUGCUUCUUCUGCGAGUAACGUCACAGAUGUAAGGUAUUAACUUACACCCUUUCCUCCUCGCUGAAAGUGCUUUACAACCCGAAGGCCUUCUUCACACACGCGGCAUGGCUGCAUCAGGGUUUCCCCCAUUGUGCAAUAUUCCCCACUGCUGCCUCCCGUAGGAGUCUGGGCCGUGUCUCAGUCCCAGUGUGGCUGAUCAUCCUCUCAGACCAGCUAGGGAUCGUCGCCUAGGUGAGCCUUUACCUCACCUACUAGCUAAUCCCACCUGGGCUUAUCCAUCAGCGCAAGGCCCGAAGGUCCCCUGCUUUCCCCCGUAGGGCGUAUGCGGUAUUAGCAGUCGUUUCCAACUGUUAUCCCCCACAAAUGGGCAAAUUCCCAGGCAUUACUCACCCGUCCGCCGCUCGUCAUCUUCAAAAGCAAGCUUUUGAAAUGUUACCGCUCGACUUGCAUGUGUUAGGCCUGCCGCCAGCGUUCAAUCUGAACCAAGAUCAAACUCUGA